rnacentral:rRNA from 1 species
GAUGAACGCUGGCGGCGUGCCUAAUACAUGCAAGUCGAGCGAACGGACGCGAAUCUUGCUUCUCUGAUGUUAGCGGCGGACGGGUGAGUCACACGUGUAUAACCUCCCUAUCAGACUGGGAUAACUUCGGGAAACCGGCGCUUAUCCCGGAUAAUCUUUUGAACCGCAUUGUUCAAAAGUGAAAGACGGUCUUGCUGUCUCUUCUCGAUGGAUCCGCGCUUCAUUAGCUAGUUGGUAAGGUAACGGCUUACCACGGCAACGAUGCCUAGCCGACCUGAGAGGGGGAUAGGCGACAUGGGAACUGAGACACGGUCAAGACGACUACGGGAGGCAGCAGUAGGGAAUCUUACGCAAUGGGCGAAAGCAUGACGGAGCAACGCCGCGUGAGUGAUGAAGGUCUUCGGAUCGUAAAACUCUGUUAUUAGGGAAGAACAGAUGUGUAAGUAAAUGUGCACAGCGUGACGGUACCGAAUCAGAAAGCCACGGCUAACUACGUG